UUCCAGAAUUGUUCUAUAAUACUAAACAUACCUAUAUGGUUUGGAUAUUUGUUGCCUCCAAAUCUCAGGUUGAAAUGUAAUCCCUAGUUUUGGAGGUGGGGCCUUGUGGGAGGUGCUGGGGUUGUGGGAGCUGAUCCCUCAUAGAUGGCUUCCUGCUGUCCUUGCAACAGUGAGAGAGUUCUUGCAACAUCUGGUUGUUUAAAAGUAUGUGGCUCCUCUCCUCUCUCUCUCUCUUGUUCCCACUCUUGCUAUGUGAUGCACUGUCUGCCCCUUUCACUUCCAACAUGAUUGAAUGCUUGUUGAGGCCUCACCAGUUGAGGCCUCAUCUACAGGUCAGCCAAUUAAACCUCUUUCAUUUAUAAGUUACCUAGCCUUGGGUAUUUCUACACGGAAAUGCAAAAACAGCCUAAUACAGAGAUAUGCCAGAUUGGAAAUAGAAUGAUGGUGCUGAGAAAAGUUAUAUGUUUAGAAUCCCUUGAUUUGUGUGUGUGUAAAUUGUCAAACAAAAUGCCAUAUUAGUAUUCAAUGCACUUAGGUUUUUAGUAGCUUAAAGAUAAGUGUGUUUUGAUCAGUCUAAUAAAUACAUUCAUUUUACUACAUGUGGCAAAAUUUAACAGGGUGUAAAUUCUCAAUAUUUUAUAUCAUUACAGUAUUACACGUUAAAUAUGUUGCCACAAGACAUGGAGUUGAAUUUUCGAGCUAAGACGCUACUGUCUACGUGUGUGUGUUUCUACAAGUGCCUUAGAUAUUUACACCUGUUUAUAAAUCCUUUAAAUUCAAUUCGCAAAACUGCUAAAUGCGGAAAUGGCUCUUGAAAAAUCACUGCUUUCCUUUGACCUCUAC
rnacentral:lncRNA from 1 species